GCGUUCGUGGUGUAUCGGUAACAUUGGGUCUUCCCAGUGUGACGGUGGCAGUCACAUUAAAAUUGGCCUAGCACCGGGUUCGACUCCCGGCGGACGCA